rnacentral:rRNA from 1 species
CAGCAGCCGCGGGAAUACGAAGGGUGCAAGCGUUACUCGGAAUUACUGGGCGUAAAGCGUGCGUAGGUGGUGGUUUAAGUCCGUUGUGAAAGCCCUGGGCUCAACCUGGGAAUUGCAGUGGAUACUGGGUCACUAGAGUGUGGUAGAGGAUAGUGGAAUUUCCGGUGUAGCAGUGAAAUGCGUAGAGAUCGGAAGGAACAUCUGUGGCGAAGGCGACUAUCUGGGCCAACACUGACACUGAGGCACGAAAGCGUGGGGAGCAAACAGGAUUAGAGACCCGCGUAGUCCCUGUCUCUUAUAC